UUGCCAGACUCCUACGGGAGGCAGCAGUUAGGAAUAUUCGUCAAUGGGGGAAACCCUGAACGAGCAAUGCCGCGUGAACGAUGACGGUCCUCUGGAUUGUAAAGUUCUGUUGUUUGGGAAGAACGGCUCUAAUAGGAAAUGAUUAGAGAUUGACUGUACCAUUCAAGAAAGCCACGGCUAACUACGUGCCAGCAGCCGCGGUAAUACGUAGGUGGCGAGCGUUAUCCGGAUUUAUUGGGCGUAAAGCGUCCGCAGCCGGUUUAUUAAGUAUAGAAUAAAACUUCGGGGCUCAACCCCGUCUCGUUCUAUAAACUGAUAGACUAGAGUGUGGUAGAGGCAAGUGGAAUUUCUAGUGUAGCGGUAGAAUGCGUAGAUAUUAGAAGGAACACCAGUGGCGAAGGCGACUUGCUGGGCCAUCACUGACGGUCAGGGACGAAAGCGUGGGGAGCGAAUAGGAUUAGAUACCCCAGUA
rnacentral:rRNA from 1 species